AUCGCUUAUAAGCAUUAGUCUCCCCUCUCUCCUCUAGAGGUGCCUUUUAGGACAAAACCCCCCUGGGUUGCUGUUAGCAUCAGUCGCGGGGACAAUACCUUUAGAGCGGGGCCUAGCCCAUGGGGCGGAUCUGGCACAUCAACAUUGGCACCAUUUAUGGGAAAACGUGGCUAUGUGUCUCUUCCCGAGCCCCUCGACUAGGGGGCUAUGUUGAUGCCCAGCGUCCCACAUCGGUAAGGAGUCGAGGGGCUAGGUAUCUUAUAAGCACUAGUCUCCUCUCUUUCCCCUAGAGGCGCCUUUUCCCUAGGUUUCUGUUAGCAUCAGUCG
rnacentral:misc_RNA from 1 species